rnacentral:pre_miRNA from 1 species
AGUAGUUACUGGCGGGUCUCUAAUUCGCUUGGUGCAGGUCGGGAACUGCUUCGGUUUUAGAGAGAGAGCCAGAUGGCUGCGGUUCCAGCGGAGCGGGUCCCGCCUUGCAUCAACUGAAUCGGAGACCGCGGUGAAAUCU